AACGCACGCUAGGGUUACCGCGGCUGCUGGCACGGAGUUAGCCGGUGCUUCUUCUGUGAGUGAUGUCCUUCCUGCCGGUUAUUGACCCGCAGGCCUUCUUCCUCACUGAAAGUGCUUUACAACCCGAAGGCCUUCUUCACACACGCGGCAUGGCUGGAUCAGGGUUGCCCCCAUUGUCCAAUAUUCCCCACUGCUGCCUCCCGUAGGAGUCUGGGCCGUGUCUCAGUCCCAGUGUGGCUGAUCAUCCUCUCAGACCAGCUACGGAUCGUCGCCUUGGUGAGCCGUUACCUCACCAACCAGCUAAUCCGACAUAGGCUCAUCCGAUAGCGCGAGGCCCGAAGGUCCCCCGCUUUCCCCCGUAGGGCGUAUGCGGUAUUAGCCUGGGUUUCCCCAGGUUAUCCCCCACUACCGGGCAGAUUCCUAUGCAUUACUCACCCGUCCGCCGCUCGCACCAGGGAGAAACGCUCCCCGUGCUGCCGCUCGACUUGCAUGUGUUAGGCCUGCCGCCAGCGUUCAAUCUGAGCC
rnacentral:rRNA from 1 species